rnacentral:rRNA from 1 species
AGCGAACGCUGGCGGCAGGCUUAACACAUGCAAGUCGAACGGUCCUUCGGGAUAGUGGCGGACGGGUGAGUAACACGUGGAACGUACCCUUAGGGUCGGAACCACACCGGGAAACCUGUGCUAAUACCCGAUAAGCCCCUCGGGGGAAAGAUUUAUCGCCUUUGGAGCGGCCCGCGUCUGAUUAGCUUGUUGGUGAGGUAAUGGCUCACCAAGGCUACGAUCAGUAGCUGGUCUGAGAGGAUGGCCAGCCACACUGGGACUGAGACACGGCCCAGACUCCUACGGGAGGCAGCAGUGGGGAACCUUGCGCAAUGGGCGAAAGCCUGACGCAGCCAUGCCGCGUGGAUGAUGAAGGUCUUAGGAUUGUAAAAUCCUUUCACCGGGGACGAUAAUGACGGUACCCGGAGAAGAAGCCCCGGCUAACUUCGUGCCAGCAGCCGCCGUAA